CUGGCUCAGGAUGAACGCUAGCUACAGGCUUAACACAUGCAAGUCGUGGGGCAGCAUAUAGAUAGCUUGCUAUUUAUGAUGGCGACCGGCGCACGGGUGAGUAACGCGUAUCCAACCUUCCCCAUAGUAGGGUAUAGCCCGGCGAAAGUCGGAUUAAUCCCCUAUGUUGUUUGAAGCGGACAUCUAAUUCAAACCAAAGAUUCAUCGCUAUGGGAUGGGGAUGCGUCUGAUUAGGUUGCAGGCGGGUAACGGCCACCUGGCCGACGAUCAGUAGGGGUUCUGAGAGGAAGGUCCCCCACACUGGUACUGAGACACGGACCAGACUCCUACGGGAGGCAGCAGUGAGGAAUAUUGGUCAAUGGGCGCGAGCCUGAACCAGCCAAGUAGCGUGCAGGAUGACGGCCCUACGGGUUGUAAACUGCUUUAUGCGGGGAUAAAGUGAGGGACGUGUCCCUUUUGCAGGUACCGCAUGAAUAAGGACCGGCUAAUUCCGUGCC
rnacentral:rRNA from 1 species